AGACUCCUAUAUACUUUGUGGGAAACACUGGCGAUUUUGCAGGUUAUCAAGUACUUGUUCUCCCCACUGUAUAUGACGUAAAAAAAAAAAGCCAAUGAAAGAAAUCCAUGUGAUUAAUAUGCACACCUAAAUGUAAUCUAAGCAUAAAACUAAUUUUAAAUGUGUAUUCAUUACAAUUAUUUUUUAUUACUAUUUUUAGUUAGAGUUUGCAAAGUCCAUUAGUGAAGGUCUCAAGAAGAGUUUCUGCCUUCGGAAAUUGCAUACUUAUUAGCCUACCUUAACUUGAUUACCUGAAGAAGUCGACAUUGUAAUUGUAAAUUUAUUGAAAUUAAAUGUUGUUUUUAGUGCAGAUUUCGUAAUUAAUUAGCACUUAAUUGUUUAUCUGAAAAAAAAAAAAGAAUCUGAAAGCACAGAAUAAAACAAAAAUGGUGAAACUGACCUGACCUAAUAGCUGCAGCAAUAUCAAAAGCAAAAUGUUGGUGAUAUAAAAACACUGCCCAUGAGCAUUUUUAGCAUGCGUUCAAAUGAAAUAUGGGGCUUGAGUGUUCGUAAAAACAACAACAAAAAUAUUUAAAUUAUUUUUUUAAAAGCUACAAUUGUCCCACUAUCAAGUCACGUGAAGUAAUGGUAAUUGCACCUGCUACGAAUGGGUCAUAGAACUUCAAAAUGAGUUUUAAAUUAAUCAUUUUAUAAACAGAUUUUUAUUCAAGUAAGGUUCUUAUUCUAAAUGUUUAUGUUUGUAAAUUCUGUGUGACUGUGUCGCGCUUUAAUUUGCAUGCGCGUGAACACUCGAGCUGCCUUCAAACACUGGAGCGGAGAUGAGUUGCCAUGGAAACGGCGCGGGGCGGGACCGCACUACUGCAACUGUCAGCAAAACUCCGUCUCUCGCUGUUGUUUUCACUGCUUUCAGCAGCAACACAAAUAAUUCCUCUUCAACAGAGGAAAGCUCCAAAAUGUCAACAUUUCUGAAGAAAGCUGCUGCCAGAGAAGUGGAAAACAGACAGAGAUCCUUCCAUGCAGAUGCCCUGCACCAUAGCAGAGUUGAGCUGAUCAUCAUCUCUAAGGCGCUAUCACCAUUAUGAUUAGAUGCUCAGCAAGUUCACUAGAGAUUACAGUAGCUCCAGUGUGGAUCCAGCCUCACUCGUGAAGACUUCAGAUGACACCAACACUCACAAAGACUUCAGAUGGUGGCAACUAUAGAUGGACACAAAACUGCCAGAUAUUAUCCUUACAUUGCAUUGGCCCGGUUUCACACACAGGGUUUAGAUUAAGCCAGGAUUAGGCCUUAGUUAAAUUAGGAUAUUUACAGUAAGUAGCUUUUUAUAAUGUACUUCAGAGAAAAAAGAAGGAAAAAAAACAUUACUGGUGUGCAUCUCUUGAGACAAACCAGUGACACUGAAAUAUUUUAAGAUAUGUCAGUGCAAGUUGAUUCCAGUUAAGACAGUUCAAAAAUGCAUUUUAUUCUGGGACUAUCUUAAGCCUUUUCUGUGGAACCAGGGAAGGGAAGGGAACGUUUGCAUGACAGUUUUGCUGACAAAUAAACAGGAAUAUCUUAGUAUACCUAACUAAGAGAAAGAGUAAACAUUGUUCUAACAUAUUACCAACAUUGUAAGAAUAGCAGGUUGAACAUCUGCAACCCUUUAAAAAUGAUGAAGGAUAGCAAUUAGGACUUUAAACUCAUGACUUGUAUUAUCUUAUAGACAUUACUUUGUUGCCAAAAGAUGCUCUCCCAGUGAGUAGAAGUCGCCUCUGGCUGAUUAAAGGAUAUUUUGCAAUUGUAUAUAACCUUGAACAUGCAUUUUUUGUAAAGCUGUUAUGAAACAAUUUGUAUUGUGAAAAGCACUAUGUGGUUUUACUAUGGUAAAACUACCAACCAUGUUAUUUAUUUUUUAAACCAUGGUUCAACUAGUAAUAUUGCUGUAAUAAUUGCUGUAAAAUUAUGGUAAUCAUGACUAUAAACGUAUGUUUUUAAACCUUGGUUGUUGUGAAACCAUAGUUCAUUUUGUUAGCAACUAUGGUUUUACUGCAAAUGCUGUGGUAAAACCAUGGUUAAUUUUCAUAAGGAUACAACUUAUCUUAUAAUGUACUUGACUAAUAGUCACAUUGGAUAAAAUAAUCUGAUAAAUGUAAUACAAUGUAUCCAUUUCAUCUGUUCACUGAAAAUUAAUUUAAUAAAAAUAAAUUUGCAACUGC